UACGUAGGGACCAAGCGUUGUUCGGAUUUACUGGGCGUAAAGGGCGCGUAGGCGGCUUAACAAGUCACUUGUGAAAUCUCCGGGCUUAACUCGGAACGGCCAAGUGAAACUGUCAAGCUAGAGUGCAGAAGGGGCAAUCGGAAUUCUUGGUGUAGCGGUGAAAUGCGUAGAUAUCAAGAGGAACACCUGAGGUGAAGACGGGGUUGCUGGGCUGACACUGACGCUGAGGCGCGAAGCCAGGGGAGCAAACGGG
rnacentral:rRNA from 1 species